rnacentral:tRNA from 1 species
GCCCCUGUAGCUCAGUGGAUAGAGCAAGGGAUUCCUAAUCCCUGUGCGGGAGUUCGAUUCUCCCCAGGGGCUCCA